rnacentral:tRNA from 1 species
GGGGUUGUGGCUCAGUGGUAGAGCACUUGCCUAGCAUGCGUGAGGCCCUGGGUUCAAUCCUCAGCAAGCCAU